rnacentral:SRP_RNA from 1 species
GCUAGAUGGAGAGUUAGCGGUGCUCUGUAACCCACAAUCCGCUAUAGUGGGGUCGAACGCUUGCCUCGGUUUUGUUUAGUCAAAUAUGUGUGAAAUUUUUUUGUGAUGAAAUCAAGGUCUUAUGCAAUCAGAAUCUUCGAACCAUGUCAGAUCCUGACGGAAGCAUCAUUAAGAAGACCCCCUGGUGUGCCAUAAGGUAGCUUUGGUGGAGCGAAACAA